rnacentral:rRNA from 1 species
AUUGAACGCUGGCGGCAUGCUUUACACAUGCAAGUCGAACGGCAGCGCGGGCUUCGGCCUGGCGGCGAGUGGCGAACGGGUGAGUAAUACAUCGGAACGUGCCCAGUAGUGGGGGAUAGCUCGGCGAAAGCCGGAUUAAUACCGCAUACGACCUGAGGGUGAAAGCGGGGGAUCUUCGGACCUCGCGCUAUUGGAGCGGCCGAUGGCAGAUUAGCUAGUUGGUGGGGUAAAGGCCUACCAAGGCGACGAUCUGUAGCUGGUCUGAGAGGACGACCAGCCACACUGGGACUGAGACACGGCCCAGACUCCUACGGGAGGCAGCAGUGGGGAAUUUUGGACAAUGGGCGAAAGCCUGAUCCAGCAAUGCCGCGUGUGUGAUGAAGGCCUUCGGGUUGUAAAGCGUUUUUGGCGGGAACGAAAAGGACUGUGCCAAUACCACGGUUCGAUGACGGUACCCGCAGAAUAAGCACCGGCUAACUACGUG